CCUACGGGAGGCAGCAGUAGGGAAUCUUCGGCAAUGGACGGAAGUCUGACCGAGCAACGCCGCGUGAGUGAAGAAGGUUUUCGGAUCGUAAAGCUGCGGUUGUUAGAGAAGAAUGAUGGUGGGAGUGGAAAAUCCACCAUGUGACGGUAACUAACCAGAAAGGGACGGCUAACUACGUGCCAGCAGCCGCGGUAAU
rnacentral:rRNA from 1 species